rnacentral:rRNA from 1 species
AACGAACGCUGGCGGCAUGCCUAACACAUGCAAGUCGAACGAGAUCUUCGGGUCUAGUGGCGCACGGGUGCGUAACGCGUGGGAAUCUGCCCUUUGGUUCGGAAUAACAGUUGGAAACGACUGCUAAUACCGGAUGAUGACGAAAGUCCAAAGAUUUAUCGCCAGAGGAUGAGCCCGCGUAGGAUUAGCUAGUUGGUGUGGUAAAGGCGCACCAAGGCGACGAUCCUUAGCUGGUCUGAGAGGAUGAUCAGCCACACUGGGACUGCGAACACGGCCCAGACUCCUACGGGAGGCAGCAGUGGGGAAUAUUGGACAAUAGGCGAAAGCCUGAUCCAGCAAUGCCGCGUGAGUGAUGAAGGCCUUAGGGUUGUAAAGCUCUUUUACCCGGGAUGAUAAUGACAGUACCGGGAGAAUAAGCUCCGGCUAACUCCGUGCCAGCCGCCGCAGUAA